AUGCAAAGUUCUGACUAUGAUUUCGCGUGCAACCACAGCGCCGUUGGCCGCGCUGCCUACCGAGUGCCACCCCGCCGCCUCCUCCCACCCCCCAUCUGGGACCUCACCGCCCGCUCCCCGCCCGGUACACCCACAACGCUUGAGUCUGAGCAGACGCCAUUGGCCCGUGGGCACAGAAGUAGAGUCCAGGAUGGUGAUGGUGCCAAGGAGGACUCUCGAACGCCGAUUGAUUGCAUCGUUGCUGCCGUACCCAUGGAGUGGCGCGGCUCCAACCACUCUGAGAUGGCCGCACAACAUUUUCUUUAG
rnacentral:rRNA from 1 species